AUGAACGAACGAACGAAUGUUACAUAAUUUGUCGUAUGUUUAAUAUGUUGUUAUGUAAAGUGUUAAAUCAAUAAAUGAAAUGUGUGAAAAUGGUUACAAAUAUAUUUCAUGAAGUUGGUAACAAAAAUGAUUUUGAAUUCAGCCGCAGGAACGCCACAGUACUCCCCUCCCAGCGACGUACUACGUUGCGAAUCUAACUUUCUUCCUUGGACCAGAAUAUGUUCUGAGUUGUUUUCCAAGUAAGGUUGACUGAGGAAGGCUGGUUUAAGACGUUCUGUGGUGAUAUUGACAAUUUUUCCUGCAACAUCGAUUGCAAACAGAUUAUCAUUAAUUCUAUUAACAAAACGAAAAGGGCCAGAAUAAGGAGGUUGAAGAGAUUUCCUAACUGCAUCUUCACGAAUCCAAACAUGAGUGCAAUCAUAUAAAUUUUUAUGAAAGAAAGGGUCAGAUGGAAGAUCCUCUUCAAUGAAAAAUUCUCCCGGAAUUCUUAAUGUAGAUCCAUAAAGCAUUUCCGCAGGAGAUGCAUUCAAAUCUUCUUUAAAGCAAGUACGAAAUCCAAGUAAAACUGUUGGCAAAAUUUCAAUCCAGUUUUCAUUUGCGUGACACAUAAUAGCACUCUUCAAUGU